rnacentral:rRNA from 1 species
AGCGAACGUUAGCGGCGCGCCUAACACAUGCAAGUCGCACGAGAAAGGGCUUCGGCCCCGGUAAAGUGGCGCACGGGUGAGUAACACGUGGGCAACCUGCCCAACCCUGGGGGAUAACCUGCCGAAAGGCGGGCUAAUACCGCGUACGAGGGCUCGCCUUCGGUCGGGUUCCGAAAGCAGGCCUCUGUAUACCAGCUUGUGGGGUUGGAUGGGCCCGCGCGCCAUCAGCUAGUUGGUGAGGUAACGGCUCACCAAGGCUACGACGGAUAGCUGGUCUGAGAGGAUGAUAAGCCACACUGGAACUGAGACACGGUCCAGACUCCUACGGGAGGCAGCAGUGGGGAAUCUUGCGCAAUGGACGAAAGUCUGACGCAGCGACGCCGCGUGGGUGACGAAGGCCUUCGGGUUGUAAAGCCCUGUGGGGUGAGACGAACAGCUGGGGUUCAAAUAGGGCCUUGGUCUGACGGUAUCACCUUAGCAAGCACCGGCUAACUCUGUGCCAGCCGCCGCAGUAAUAC